GCUUGAAGGGGGCACUUAGGUAUCCAGACAUGGACCGCUUUUCCAAUCUCACUUUCCUCUAGCAGAAGUAAAAGCUGGCUUCCAGAAGAGACCCACAUACAGUCAGAGACACCAGUUGUAGUGAAUAAAAAUAAAAAUUUACCAUCAGAAGACUACAUAAAAGCCCAGCCAACGUCAACAAUCCACCAUGCUCCCUUCAGCUACACACACUCAGGCUAUGUUCAAGAGUGUUCUCAUCUCAAGACAGUGGCUUUUCUUUGAACACACGGUUCACAUCUGAGGCAAGAACCCCGUCCUACAUAUUGGUUGGCUGCUUUAAUUCACCCCUUUCCCUAGUUUGAUCUCGGCAGCUGUCUCUGAUCCAGACAGACAACUUGAGUUUCUAGGACUCUUUACAGUUCUUUCACCCACCCUGAAAGUUCGAUUUUCUCAUUUGGAAUGUGAGUGAAGCAGUGUACCUUUACUGUGGUCACGGUGAAAAGUCUCAGAAAUUUGCCUCAUGACAAUGACUCAGUAAAGGAUGUGGCUUUCACGAGUCGCUGUGGGUAAACAACAGAGAGGGACUGAUUGCUUGAUUCUGCUUCUGAGGAGCCCUGGUUGAAAUGCAAUUGUACAACUAUAUGAAAAACAAGUCUCCCAAAAAAGGAAGAGACCAGAUUUCUGGGUCUACAUUAUCCAAAGGGUGUGUUGCCUUAGAAGAUCAAUCAUUCUGUUCCUUCUCCCCAUUCCCGUUGGCACAAAGGCAAGUAUCUAAACAGUGAGUGCAAAUUAAGAUGAAUCUCAGCAGUGGCUAUCUAAGAUUAUAGAGGCAAGCAUACAGAAAUGGGAACAACGAGCCAAACAUUUCUCUUGGAGGUGGCAAACAUGAUGUGGAAAUGUAGUUCCUCACCCUCAGUCAUGGCAGACAUCACUAACCAAUUACUGAGCUCAAAUGUGACCCAAGAUACAUUUUCUACACAAUCCCCCUAGCAACCGCUACCACAUAAUUAACGCUUCAAAUGAAAGGCUAUUGUAAUCUAAUCAUUUUACAUUAGGAGAAUAUUGAGACCCAUGAAGAUUAAGUGGCUUGCCCCAGGCUGCUAGUGACUGGCUGAGCUGGGACUAGAGUCAUUAUUCUGUAUGCUAUAAAAAUCCAUUCUGUUAGAAACUCUGGGUCUUAGCUGACAAUGGCCCAGACUUUAGAAGGGCACAGAGGAGUCUGCACAAGGUGUAUCAUUCCUGCCUGGUUUCUAUGGCUC
rnacentral:lncRNA from 1 species